rnacentral:misc_RNA from 1 species
UUUCCGUAGGUGAACCUGCGGAAGGAUCAAUCCAUAUAUUUAUUAUACACUUGUGUGUGUAAAUAUAAACCUUAUAAUUAAAACGGUAUUCGACACUUGAAAGAGUGUAGUCUCUUGUAGUUGAACUACAACUUUUAAUAGUUGAUCAACUAAAGAAAAAAACAUUUUACUAGCCAUUUGAAAUAAAACAAGAAAUUCACACAACUAUUAGUGGUGGAUCACUUGGCUCGCAGGUCGAUGAAGAACGCAGC